CUGCUGCCUUCCGUAGGAGUUUGGGCCGUGUCUCAGUCCCAAUGUGGCCGUCCACCCUCUCAGGCCGGCUACUGAUCGUCGCCUUGGUGGGCCGUUACCCCGCCAACAAGCUAAUCAGACGCGGGUCCAUCUUACACCACCGGAGUUUUUCACACAAAUCCAUGCGGCUUCGUGCGCUUAUGCGGUAUUAGCACCUAUUUCUAAGUGUUAUCCCCCAGUGUAAGGCAGGUUACCCACGCGUUACUCACCCGUCCGCCACUAAGAUUA
rnacentral:rRNA from 1 species